rnacentral:rRNA from 1 species
UUCCAGACUCCUACGGGAGGCAGCAGUGAGGAAUAUUGGUCAAUGGGCGGAAGCCUGAACCAGCCAAGUCGCGUGAGGGAAUAAGGCCCUACGGGUCGUAAACCUCUUUUGCCGGGGAGCAAGGGCGGGGACGUGUCCCGGCCCGGAGAGUACCCGGAGAAUAAGCAUCGGCUAACUCCGUGCCAGCAGCCGCGGUAAUACGGAGGAUGCGAGCGUUAUCCGGAUUUAUUGGGUUUAAAGGGUGCGUAGGCGGAUUUUUAAGUCAGCGGUAAAAUGUCCGGGCUCAACCCGGGCCGGCCGUUGAAACUGGGGAUCUUGAGUGGGCGAGAAGUAUGCGGAAUGCGUGGUGUAGCGGUGAAAUGCAUAGAUAUCACGCAGAACUCCGAUUGCGAAGGCAGCAUACCGGCGCCCGACUGACGCUGAGGCACGAAAGCGUGGGGAUCGAACAGGAUUAGAUACCCGAGUAC